UACAGAGGGUGCGAGCGUUGUUCGGAAUUAUUGGGCGUAAAGAGCUCGUAGGCGGUGUGUCGCGUCGGCCGUGAAAACCUGCAGCUUAACUGUGGGCUUGCGGUCGAUACGGGCAUCACUGGAGUUCGGCAGGGGAGACUGGAAUUCCUGGUGUAGCGGUGAAAUGCGCAGAUAUCAGGAGGAACACCGGUGGCGAAGGCGGGUCUCUGGGCCGAUACUGACGCUGAGGAGCGAAAGCGUGGGGAGCGAACAGG
rnacentral:rRNA from 1 species